AUUGAACGCUGGCGGCAGGCUUAACACAUGCAAGUCGAGCGGAGCGGCGGACGGGUGAGUAAUGCUUAGGAAUCAGCCUACUAGCGGGUGACAAACUCCCGAAGGGGAUGCUAAUACCGCAUAGGAGUAGAUGAGCCUAAGUCGGUGUAGCUAGUUGGUGGGGUAAAGGCCUACCAAGGUGACGAUCGGUCGCGGGUCUGAGAGGGUGAUCCGCCACACUGGGACUGUGACACGGCCCAGACUCCUACGGGAGGCAGCCGUGGGGAAUAUUGGACAAUGGGGGGAACCCUGAUCCAGCCACGCCGCGUGUGUGAAGAAGGCUUUAUGGUUGUAAAGCCCUGUAAGCGGGGAGGCGUUACUCGCAGAAUAAGCACCGGCUAACUCUGUGCCAGCAGCCGCGGUAAUUC
rnacentral:rRNA from 1 species